AUCCAGCUGACAAGUUCAAAAUAGGGCGAAACGCGGGUCCUGAAU
rnacentral:hammerhead_ribozyme from 1 species